UCUCUCGCUCUUGCCCGAAACUCUAGCCCUCGAUCUCCUCCUUCCUCUCCCGCCCUCUUAAUUUCUACGGCCACCAUCGCCUUCCUCUCCGCUCACUCCCACUACUGUCUCUCUUUCCUUAACCACCUCCAACCCCUCGUCGGCGCUAUCGCCUCCACCCACAAGCUCUCUCUCUCUAUCUCUCUCUCAAGCUUUCUAGGAUCUCAGAAGAUUUCAACCUGGCAAAGCACCCUCUACAACAGGUUUCAGUCUGAAUUAAUCACGUUAAUGAUGGGUGGAGAUUUGGGGAUUCCUACGUUCCCUGAAGAAGACUGGGAGCCCAAUACAAUCACAUGAUAAAAUGGGUUGGUGAAUUUGAACCUUUGAGCUGAUCAUCGAAUGAAUGUUCAACAGAUCCAUGGGCCAUUUCUCGUUGUUGUACCAUUAUCUACUUUGUCAAAUUGGGCAAAAGAAUUUAGGAAAUGGCUUCCUGAUCUGAAUGUUGUAGUGUAUGUUGGUACCCGUGCAAGCCGAGAGGUAAACUGAGCUUUCUUGUACAUGUCACAAAGUUCAUAUAUGGUUAGCGUUUGAUAAUAUGAUUUUACUUGCAUUGUUAGUUCAAAAAUAGUUAAAGCUCCCAAAUUGUACUCAUCAUAUCUAGUUUCUUCUGCCUAUUGAAUAAAUACUUCCAUAGCUAGUAUGCUGGUCAGCUCUCCGCUUUCAAUGUGGAACUUUAAUUACUGUACAAAGCUGAGUGAUCUUAAAAUGAACUCUCUCUCCUUCAGCCCUCCUUUUAUUGAGUGCACUUUUUUGAGUUCCUUUUUUACCAUAUGGUAGGCUAAAGUGCCUCCUAAGGUACAAGUUUUUGCUUGGGGCUGUUGCUCACAGGAGAGUUAUACUUGUGAGGUCAACAGCAAAGCCCUUCUGUUUGACUUUGGCCACUUGAAAGAAAGAGGCAGUUGAGGGUAUUGGUAACAUUUUCCUUCAUUUUCUAGUGGUGUUGAGAUUGGAUAGAAGUGUCUGCUGCUACGGUGAAUGUGGUUCCCUCAGCUGGGGUAUUUGGUGUGGAGUGAUUGCAUCAUGUGUUUUAAUGUUGCCAUUGUGUAUGGAGUAAUUGUAUUUUUAUCUUCUGGUGUAGUGGCCAUGGUCAAAUGAGUACUUGCUUUUAAUUUUGUUAGGGUCAAUACAGUUGCCCUGCAUCUUCAUGGUCAAUGCAUUUUUGUGAUUGAAAAAUUAUUUUGGCAAACAUUAUUUCCCCUCUUUCCUCUUGUCUAUUAUUCUCAUUUUCAGAGGCAUUCUGUAAGCCAUAGGGGUGGGACUAUACGUGGUGUCCAUAUGCUUGUUUCUUUAUUAAUUAUUUAUCUGUUUGUUGUUUUCUUAUGAUGGUGACAAAGUGUGGCGUUCUUAUGAUGUCUCUAUUUGUGUUCUUUACAACCACUAUGUCUGUGUCAUUUACUUUGAGAGAGACGCAGACUCGGAUGCUGAAGUUCACAGUGCAGCUUCAACACCAUGCUCGUCAUCAGCUUCCAACAUUUCAGUUGAUUUUUGUGCAUGUAAUUGAAUCACUUGUCUUUGUCCCGAUUAUGAUUGGCAUAUUGUUUUUUCUGUUCGAGUAUGAUCAACUAUUGGCCUUCAUGGUCCUAAUUCUUGUCUGGUUGAGUGAACUAUUUACCCUGAUCAGUUCUCUAUCUCUCUCUUAUUAUACAUAUAAUAUAUAGCAUCAUUUGAUAUGGGAAGAUUGCAUUUUAAAAUCCUUCACUCAAUAGUCACUGCCUCUCUUAUUCUUUAAUUUUAUUUUAUGAAGGUGGCUAAAUUGGAGUCCAUGUUGUGGUGAAUCAUCUUAUAUGUUUGUAUUUUUUUUUCUUUUGUUGUUUAGUCAGGCCGUAGUUAGGAAGGAAACAAAUCAGAUAAUGGUUCAGACAUUGUUCUGAUUGCUCAAUUUAUAGCAGGGAAAUUAUUACCCGAGCUGAAUUGCGAUUAUGGGUAAAUGAAUGUGAGAUACCCUUGUUGCAUGAAUUCAAUGGUAGUGCAAAAGAGAGUGGGAUGUCCAUUGAGGAGGAAAGACGCCUAUUAUAUGUUGCAAUGACUCGUGCUCGAACAGAACUUUUCAUGCUUUAUGUUUUGACGGAUUCCAAUUGGUGAAAACAGAAGAACAAAUGGGAUAUAAGUAUGGCGAGCCUUGCUUUCGUUUAUGUUUCUAGUAUUAUGUACCAUUUAGACUUAAAUUUUUGUUUUAUUUCGACAUGUUAUGCAUAGAAAUACUUGGGAUGUUGUUAUGUACUUUGAGCAUCAAUAUUAAUCAAAAUUUAUUUACUUACGA